rnacentral:rRNA from 1 species
UACGGGGGGGGCAAGCGUUGUUCGGAAUUACUGGGCGUAAAGGGCUCGUAGGUGGCCAACUAAGUCAUACGUGAAAUCCCUCGGCUUAACCGGGGAACUGCGUCUGAUACUGGAUGGCUUGAGUUUGGGAGAGGGAUGCGGAAUUCCAGGUGUAGCGGUGAAAUGCGUAGAGAUCCGGAGGAACACCGAAGGCGAAGGCAGUGUCCUGGCGCGUAACUGACGCUGAGGUGCGAAAGCCAGGGGAGCGAACGGG